rnacentral:rRNA from 1 species
CAGCCGCCGCGGGAAUACGAAGGGUGCAAGCGUUAAUCGGGAUUACUGGGCGUAAAGCGUGCGUAGGUGGUGAGUUAAGUCUGCUGUGAAAUCCCCGGGCUCAACCUGGGAAUGGCAGUGGAUACUGGCUCGCUAGAGUGUGUCAGAGGAUGGUGGAAUUCCCGGUGUAGCGGUGAAAUGCGUAGAGAUCGGGAGGAACAUCAGUGGCGAAGGCGGCCAUCUGGGACAACACUGACGCUGAGGCACGAGAGCGUGGGGAGCAAACAGGAUUAGAUACCCCGGUAGUCCCUGUCUCUUAUAC